rnacentral:rRNA from 1 species
AUUGAACGCUGGCGGCAUGCCUUACACAUGCAAGUCGAACGGCAGCAUGAUCUAGCUUGCUAGAUUGAUGGCGAGUGGCGAACGGGUGAGUAAUACAUCGGAACGUGCCCUGUAGUGGGGGAUAACUAGUCGAAAGAUUAGCUAAUACCGCAUACGACCUGAGGGUGAAAGUGGGGGACCGCAAGGCCUCAUGCUAUAGGAGCGGCCGAUGUCUGAUUAGCUAGCUGGUGAGGUAAAGGCUCACCAAGGCGACGAUCAGUAGCUGGUCUGAGAGGACGAUCAGCCACACUGGGACUGAGACACGGCCCAGACUCCUACGGGAGGCAGCAGUGGGGAAUUUUGGACAAUGGGCGAAAGCCUGAUCCAGCAAUGCCGCGUGUGUGAAGAAGGCCUUCGGGUUGUAAAGCACUUUUGUCCGGAAAGAAAUGGCUCUGGUUAAUACCUGGGGUCGAUGACGGUACCGGAAGAAUAAGGACCGGCUAACUACGUG